rnacentral:rRNA from 1 species
UACGGAGGGUGCGAGCGUUGUCCGGAAUCAUUGGGCGUAAAGCGCGCGUAGGCGGCCCGGUAAGUCCGCUGUAAAAGUCCAGGGCUCAACCCUGGAACGCCGGUGGAUACUGUCGGGCUAGAGUCCGGAAGAGGCGAGUGGAAUUCCUGGUGUAGCGGUGGAAUGCGCAAAUAUCAGGAGGAACACCGAUGGCGAAGGCAGCUCGCUGGGACGGUACUGACGCUGAGGCGCGAAAGCGUGGGGAGCGAACAGG